CCCGGAGCUGCUUCUGAUUACCGCGAGGGGCCCGGACGCGAGAGCCGCCGCGGGGCCUGCCCUAGAGGCGGAUGAACUGUGGCUUCCCCCCUGCGGUGCUGAACUCGCCCGUGUAGCUGUGAUUUUAGAGCUGCCGACAGCUCUAAGCUGGGCUCGCGCCCCGCCCACCCCGCGGGGAUUGGCUGCGAACGCGGAAGAACCAAGCCCACGCCCCGCGCCCGCGC
rnacentral:lncRNA from 1 species